rnacentral:rRNA from 1 species
UCAUUGGAGAGUUUGAUCCUGGCUCAGAACGAACGCUGGCGGCGUGGAUUAGGCAUGCAAGUCGAGCGAUCCUUCGGGAUAGCGGCAAAAGGGUGAGUAACGCGUGGGUAAUCUACCCUUAAGAAGGGGAUAACAUCGAGAAAUCGAUGCUAAUACUCUAUGAGACCACUAACACACAAGUGUAAGAGGUAAAAGGUGGCGGACGCGAAAGCGGCUACCACUUAGGGAGGAACCCGCGUCCUAUUAGCUAGUUGGUGAGGUAACGGCCCACCAAGGCGAAGAUGGGUAGCUGGUCUGAGAGGAUGGUCAGCCACACUGGGACUGAGACACUGCCCAGACUCCUACGGGAGGCUGCAGUCGAGAAUCUUUUGCAAUGGGCGAAAGCCUGACAAUGCGACGCCGCGUGAGCGAUGAAGGCCUUCGGGUCGUAAAGCUCUGUUUGCCUGGAAGAAAUCCGGAGAUCAAAUAGGUCGAAGGGAUGACGGUACAGGCAGAGGAAGUCACGGCUAACUCCGUGCCAGCAGCCGCGGUAAUACGGGGGUGGCAAGCGUUGUUCGGAUUUAUUGGGUGUAAAGGGCAUGUAGGUGGUUAAGUAAGUCGAGCGUGAAAUCCUUUGGCUCAACCAAAGAACUGCACUCG